UGGAAGGCUGAAGCAAGGGGA
rnacentral:misc_RNA from 1 species